UACGGGGGGUGCAAACGUUGCUCGGAAUCAUUGGGCGUACAGCGCACGUAGGCGGUCCAGUAAGUCGGGUGUGAAAGCCCUCGGCUCAACCGAGGAAGUGCAUUCGAAACUGCUGAACUUGAGUAUGGAAGAGGGUCGCGGAAUUCCCGGUGUAGAGGUGAAAUUCGUAGAUAUCGGGAGGAACACCAGUGGCGAAGGCGGCGACCUGGGCCAAUACUGACGCUGAGGUGCGAAAGCGUGGGGAGCAAACAGG
rnacentral:rRNA from 1 species